UUGUGUAGACAUACUUUUCUAAGGCCACAUAGUAAUUUUUUUGAUAGGUGGGGUCUGUUCGUUUAAAAAAAAUAUCACGUGACUUUAUAAAAAAGUCUACCCAUUUUUUUGUGUAGACAUACUUUUCUAAGGCCACAUAGUAAUUUUUUUGAUAGGUGGGGUCUGUUCGUUUAAAAAAAAUAUCUCCGUGACUUUUAAAAAAAUAAGUCUACCCUUUUCACUGACGGAUUUUAAAAAAAAAAUAUUUAGGUUAUUUUUUAAUUAAAAAUAUCACGUGACUUUAAAAAAAAGUCUACCCCUUUUUUUGCGUAGACAUACUUUUCUAAGGCCACAUAGUAAUUGUUUUUUGAUGGGUAAGGUCUGGUUCUUUUUAAAAAAUGAGUAGACUUAUUUUUUUUAAAGUCACGGAGAUAUUUUUUUUAAACGAACAGACCCCACCUAUCAAAAGAAAAAAUUACUAUGUGGCCUUAGAAAAGUAUGUUUACACAAAAAAAUGGGUAGACUUUUUUUUAAAGUCACGUGAUAUUUUUUAAUUAAAAAAUAACCUAAAUUUUUUUUUUUAAAAUCCGUCAGUGAAAAGGGUAUAUUUGCACCAUUUUAAAACGACAGGGGUAUAUUUGCACCAUUUUAAAAUGACAGGGGUAUAUUUGCACCAAUUUUGUAACGAGGGGUAUAUUUGCUCCAUAUCCUAUAGUUGAGGGGUAUAUAUGCCCCUUUUUAUUAACGGCGAGGGCAUAAAUCCUCAUUUUUUUUAACGGAGGGUAUAUUUGCUCCAUAUCCUAUAGUUGAGGGGUAUAUUUGCCCCUUUGCCCUUGAAAAAAUAAGCACGAUUCUUCUGUUUUCGGUUUUAGAUACUGUGUGUAUUCAUGGUCAGUAUCAUGAUGGUGGGAAUCAACUACUCCCAAAUGGUAUUUUGAAAGCGAGCAUUCAUUUUUAGGUGCUUAAUAAAUCGAUCAUUGCCAUUUCCUUGAUUGCUUCCUUUUCUUUGGUUGAACUUGGGUAUAAGGGAAUGUGGGAACUUUUUUAACAUUACGCUUUGUUUAAGGUGAUGGCAGAAAAAUAGUAUUCUUUUACAACAACUGUAGAGGUCACCUACUUUUUGCUUCUAGCACCACGACAUCUAUUUGGCACUGUUAUUUAAUAAAAUUACUUUUUACUGAUAACAAAACAUUCUCCUAAUACAUUAUUUGAUGUGUUUCUUAUCCUCUAUCAAUUGGUUCUUUUUCUUUUUCUUUAUCCUAGGUCCAAUUUAACUGUUUCUUCAAACCUAUAAGUUGCCACAAAUAGUUGUAAGUUGAAACAUCUUACUUGGAACUAUCUAAAGCUACUUGAUGCUACGAUGUAUCUGCGAGUAGAUUCUUGGAGUCAUUUGUGUAUAAUUUAGCAACGUAUGAUGCUCCAUGUUGACAACAUUAUUGAUCAUAUCGUGCAAAGUAUUAAAAUAAAGAUACAUUUUUGCUGCUAAUGAAACUCUUUUAACUUCCUUGCUGAUUAAUUGUAGCAAAAAAGGGGCAAAAGUUUAAGAAUGUAUUUUAUCUGCUACUUCAAUCAAGUUAGUAUUACCUUUUCGCCGUGAGUAGUUUUACUUUUAUAUGUAAUAUGUGGAUAUGGACAGACAGUUUCUAUAACAUUUUCUUUUUAUUUGUAGACAUCCUAAUAUGUCCAGCCAUUUUUUCAGGAGUUUACUCUACACAACGGCUAUGGCAUAGAAUAUAAAAGUCGCCAAGCCCUGCCUUUGGCGUCAAAUUAUUUAGUAAACUUUGUGUCGAGUGAGGGAAGAUGACAAAGAGAAAACAAUCAAGUUCUAGAAGCAAAGCAACAAGCAGGCCAAGCCAUGGGAAAGGGUUGAUUUAAGAUUCUCUAAUUUUCAAGAACUUCAGGAACAACAAACAGUAAUGUUUGGCCACUGAAAAGCACAUAUGUACAAAGAGUUGAUGUUCUAUAUGGCACAUUGGAUAGUCCAGAAGUUGGGACAACGCUAGAAUUUGAAUGAUAGAUUGUACAAGCAGAAUGUUCCUAACAACUUCUUGAGCAUCCUUCUUUUCUUUUUCUUUCUUUUGGAUUUUUUUUUUUUGGCUGCAAGUUGUUUGAGUUGUGUUAACAUUUGAUGUCUUUUUUUUUUUUUUUUUUUUGUGCAAUCGAUGGUUUGGUAUUGUGUAUCUUUUGCUGAUGCUUGAAUGAAUAGACUUUAUUUUUAACUUAUCAGAUCAUCCCUUUCACUAAAACAUGCACGUAUCUAGAAUAAAUUGAUUCCUUGCAAUUUGUGGCUCAUAUGGCAGAAAAAUAUCCAGCAAUUCUUUAUUUUUUAUUUAUAGAAAACAAACUUACAAUGUUGGGCCCGUGCUUAGCCGGGCCAUGCCCCUCUAGUAAAGUUAUAAACAAAGAGUAAUUUUACGGCCAUGAAAACUAGUUGGUCUGCACAA